rnacentral:rRNA from 1 species
UGGGGAAUAUUGGACAAUGGGCGAAAGCCUGAUCCAGCCAUGCCGCGUGUGUGAAGAAGGUCUUCGGAUUGUAAAGCACUUUAAGUUGGGAGGAAGGGCAGUAAGUUAAUACCUUGCUGUUUUGACGUUACCGACAGAAUAAGCACCGGCUAACUCUGUGCCAGCAGCCGCGGUAAUACAGAGGGUGCAAGCGUUAAUCGGAAUUACUGGGCGUAAAGCGCGCGUAGGUGGUUUGUUAAGUUGGAUGUGAAAGCCCCGGGCUCAACCUGGGAACUGCAUCCAAAACUGGCUAGCUAGAGUACGGUAGAGGGUGGUGGAAUUUCCUGUGUAGCGGUGAAAUGCGUAGAUAUAGGAAGGAACACCAGUGGCGAAGGCGACCACCUGGACUGAUACUGACACUGAGGUGCGAAAGCGUGGGGAGCAAACA